AAAACAAGCUUUUAAGAGCAGAUGGCGGAUGCCUUGCCAAAGAGAGGCGAUGAAGGACGUACUAGACUGCGAUAAGCUAUGCGGAGCUGUCAAGGAGCUUUGAUGCGUAGAUGUCCGAAUGGGGCAACCCAACUAAUAGAGAUAUUAGUUACUCUUUAAUAGAGAGCGAACCUAGUGAAGUGAAACAUCUCAGUAACUAGAGGAAAAGAAAUCAACGAGAUUCCCUAAGUAGUGGCGAGCGAACGGGGAAAAGGGCAAACCGAGUGCUUGCAUUCGGGGUUGAGGACUGCAACAUCCAAGAGAACGCUUUAGCAGAGUUACCUGGAAAGGUAAGCCAUAGAAAGUGAUAGCCUUGUAUGCGACAAGGCGUUCUUAGGUAGCAGUAUCCAGAGUAGGCCAGGACACGAGGAAUCCAGGUUGAAGCCGGGGAGACCACUCUCCAACCCUAAAUACUACUCUUUGAGCGAUAGCGAACAAGUACCGUGAGGGAAAGGUGAAAAGAACCGCAGUGAGCGGAGUGAAAUAGAACCUGAAACCAUCUGCUUACAAUCAUUCAGAGCCCUAUGAUUUAUCAGGGUGAUGGACUGCCUUUUGCAUAAUGAUCCUGCGAGUUGUGGUAUCUGGCAAGGUUAAGCGAAUGCGAAGCCGUAGCGAAAGCGAGUCUUAAUAGGGCGAACAAGUCAGAUGCUGCAGACCCGAAGCUAAGUGAUCUAUCCAUGGCCAAGUUGAAACGCGUGUAAUAGCGCGUGGAGGACUGAACUCGUACCCAUUGAAACGGGUUGGGAUGAGCUGUGGAUAGGGGUGAAAGGCCAAACAAACUUAGUGAUAGCUGGUUCUCUUCGAAAUAUAUUUAGGUAUAGCCUCAAGUGAUAAUAAAAGGGGGUAGAGCACUGAUUGGGCUAGGGCUGCUCGCCGCGGUACCAAACCCUAUCAAACUUCGAAUACCUUUUAUCGUAUCUUGGGAGUCAGGCGGUGGGUGAUAAAAUCAAUCGUCAAAAGGGGAACAACCCAGACUACCAAAUAAGGUCCCUAAGUUCUAUUCUGAGUGGAAAAAGAUGUGUGGCUACUCAAACAACCAGGAGGUUGGCUUAGAAGCAGCCAUCCUUUAAAGAAAGCGUAACAGCUCACUGGUCUAGUGGUCAUGCGCUGAAAAUAUAACGGGGCUAAGAUAGACACCGAAUUUGUAGAUUGUGUUAAACACAGUGGUAGAAGAGCGUUCAUACCAGCGUUGAAGGUAUACCGGUAAGGAGUGCUGGAGCGGUAUGAAGUGAGCAUGCAGGAAUGAGUAACGAUAAGAUAUAUGAGAAUUGUAUCCGCCGUAAAUCUAAGGUUUCCUACGCGAUGGUCGUCAUCGUAGGGUUAGUCGGGUCCUAAGCCGAGUCCGAAAGGGGUAGGUGAUGGCAAAUUGGUUAAUAUUCCAAUACCGACUAUGGAGCGUGAUGGGGGGACGCAUAGGGUUAAGCGAGCUAGCUGAUGGAAGCGCUAGUCUAAGGGCGUAGAUUGGAGGGAAGGCAAAUCCACCUCUGUAUUUGAAACCCAAACAGGCUCUUUGAGUCCUUUUAGGACAAAGGGAGAAUCGCUGAUACCGUCGUGCCAAGAAAAGCCUCUAAGCAUAUCCAUAGUCGUCCGUACCGCAAACCGACACAGGUAGAUGAGAUGAGUAUUCUAAGGCGCGUGAAAGAACUCUGGUUAAGGAACUCUGCAAACUAGCACCGUAAGUUCGCGAUAAGGUGUGCCACAGCGAUGUGGUCUCAGCAAAGAGUCCCUCCCGACUGUUUACCAAAAACACAGCACUUUGCCAACUCGUAAGAGGAAGUAUAAGGUGUGACGCCUGCCCGGUGCUCGAAGGUUAAGAGGAUGCGUCAGUCGCAAGAUGAAGCGUUGAAUUGAAGCCCGAGUAAACGGCGGCCGUAACUAUAACGGUCCUAAGGUAGCGAAAUUCCUUGUCGGUUAAAUACCGACCUGCAUGAAUGGCGUAACGAGAUGGGAGCUGUCUCAACCAGAGAUUCAGUGAAAUUGUAGUGGAGGUGAAAAUUCCUCCUACCCGCGGCAAGACGGAAAGACCCCGUGGACCUUUACUACAACUUAGCACUGCUAAUGGGAAUAUCAUGCGCAGGAUAGGUGGGAGGCUUUGAAGUAAGGGCUUUGGCUCUUAUGGAGCCAUCCUUGAGAUACCACCCUUGAUGUUUCUGUUAGCUAACUGGCCUGUGUUAUCCACAGGCAGGACAAUGCUUGGUGGGUAGUUUGACUGGGGCGGUCGCCUCCUAAAAAGUAACGGAGGCUUGCAAAGGUUGGCUCAUUGCGGUUGGAAAUCGCAAGUUGAGUGUAAUGGCACAAGCCAGCCUGACUGUAAGACAUACAAGUCAAGCAGAGACGAAAGUCGGUCAUAGUGAUCCGGUGGUUCUGUGUGGAAGGGCCAUCGCUCAAAGGAUAAAAGGUACCCCGGGGAUAACAGGCUGAUCUCCCCCAAGAGCUCACAUCGACGGGGAGGUUUGGCACCUCGAUGUCGGCUCAUCGCAUCCUGGGGCUGGAGCAGGUCCCAAGGGUAUGGCUGUUCGCCAUUUAAAGCGGUACGCGAGCUGGGUUCAGAACGUCGUGAGACAGUUCGGUCCCUAUCUGCCGUGGGCGUAGGAAAGUUGAGGAGAGCUGUCCCUAGUACGAGAGGACCGGGAUGGACGUGUCACUGGUGCACCAGUUGUUCUGCCAAGAGCAUCGCUGGGUAGCUACACACGGAUGUGAUAACUGCUGAAAGCAUCUAAGCAGGAAGCCAACUCCAAGAUAAACUUUCCCUGAAGCUCGCACAAAGACUAUGUGCUUGAUAGGGUAGAUGUGUAAGCGCAGUAAUGCGUUUAGCUGACUACUACUAAUAGAGCGUUUGGCUUGUUUUU
rnacentral:rRNA from 1 species